CCUAAUGUUUUGUCCACUCUGUAUAUUUCGUGUGUGUUUGUAUAGUUGAGUGUGAGGCCGACAGUAGCAGAGCUGGUGGCUCGGCGGAUUCUGCGCUUCAAUGAGUACGUGGAGUGCACAGAUGCUAAGGACUAUGACCGUCGCGCAGACAAACCCUGGGCCAGGCUCACGCCAGCUGACAAAGCUGCUAUCCGUAAAGAACUGAAUGAGUUCAAAAGCAAAGAGAUGGAAGUUCAUGAAGAGAGCAAGCAAUUUACCAGAUUCCAUCGGCCCUGAGGCAUUUCUCUCUCCAGUGGGGGUGCUGGUCGGCGGCCGGCACUGCCUAAAG